rnacentral:rRNA from 1 species
AUGCACGCUGGCGGCGUGCCUAAUACAUGCAAGUCGAGCGAACAGAUAAGGAGCUUGCUCCUUUGACGUUAGCGGCGGACGGGUGAGUAACACGUGGGUAACCUACCUAUAAGACUGGGAUAACUUCGGGAAACCGGAGCUAAUACCGGAUAACAUUUGGAACCGCAUGGUUCUAAAGUGAAAGAUGGUUUUGCUAUCACUUAUAGAUGGACCCGCGCCGUAUUAGCUAGUUGGUAAGGUAACGGCUUACCAAGGCGACGAUACGUAGCCGACCUGAGAGGGUGAUCGGCCACACUGGAACUGAGACACGGUCCAGACUCCUACGGGAGGCAGCAGUAGGGAAUCUUCCGCAAUGGGCGAAAGCCUGACGGAGCAACGCCGCGUGAGUGAUGAAGGGUUUCGGCUCGUAAAACUCUGUUAUUAGGGAAGAACAAAUGUGUAAGUAACUGUGCACGUCUUGACGGUACCUAAUCAGAAAGCCACGGCUAACUACGUG